rnacentral:rRNA from 1 species
UACGUAGGGGGCAAGCGUUGUCCGGAUUUAUUGGGCGUAAAGAGCGUGUAGGCGGCCAGACAGGUCCGUUGUGAAAACUCGAGGCUCAACCUCGAGAUGUCGAUGGAAACCGUCUGGCUAGAGUCCGGAAGAGGCGAGUGGAAUUCCUGGUGUAGCGGUGAAAUGCGCAGAUAUCAGGAGGAACACCUAUUGCGAAGGCAGCUCGCUGGGACGUUACUGACGCUGAGACGCGAAAGCGUGGGGAGCAAACAGG